ACAAAUAAAUGUAAAUAAAUCCGGUUUGCUGUCGUUGUGACAGCCUCUUGUUGUUUUCUAACUUUAGUUAGCCGCAACCAAAUGUUAUGAGACUUACACACAAUACUUAUGUUAUGAGACUUACACAUAAUACUUAUUACCACAAAACUCAGAUCAAGUACAAAUGUUGGUAGUGUCACUUUUACCUUCCUCAGUUAUGUCCCUUUAUAACUUUAUAUGAUAUGCAAGUGGGGGCAUCAUCUGUGUCCCAUGGACACAUUCCCUAUUUAUUUUCUAACAGCUUUUAGUCUACCUAUGACCUACAUUUCAUGCAUGUGUGACUUUGGGUCUGUAUGCAUUAGGUCCCUUUUCUAGUUUUAGGACCAGAUGAUAUUUCACCAUUGUUUUUGUUCUUGUAAGAUUUUGGUAAUCAUGACUUACAAUUUACCCAUUACAAACUCAAUAAAGUUUCACAUUUAUGGUCCAGGCCUUUGAGUAAAAAAAAUCUUUACCUCAUACUAAGUGUAGAAAGUUAUUAUACCCCACCCAACGAAGUUAAGGAAGGUAUACUGUUUUAACCCGUCCAUCGUCUGUCUGUCCAUCAGUCUGUCAGUCCUGUUUCUUGUCAUUGCAACUCCUCUCAAACCACACACAACAGAAUUUCAUGAAACCUUUUUAGAUAAUAAGGACAUACUAUGAAGAUGUGCAUAUCGAAAGGAAAUUAUGUUUCCCAUUUUUUUCAAGGAGUUACGCUCCUUUGAACUUAUUUGCUUCAAUAUACUACUGCAACAGGUUGUCAUCGUAACUCCUCUUAAACCACAAAACAGAACUUCAUGAAACUUGGUAGAUAAUAAGGACAUGCAUUUGUACUAUGUAGAUGUGCAUAUCAACAGGAAAUUAUGAUUCAAUUUUUUUUCUUACAGUUAUUUUAUUUCUUCAUUGACAAUGUGGGGACGUGGGGUAUUUGAGCACGCUUUUUGAGGUUCUUUAAUUGCUUAUUACACUAAAUCCAGUAUUUUGGUUGUUAUAUUUGUAUUUCUUAAGUAUGAUAUUCCUACUCCAAAGUUUUGAUGACUAAGGCCAUUUUUUACCCCACAUAUUUCCCAUAUUUUUUUUCAUUUAUACCUGG
rnacentral:lncRNA from 1 species